CACAAAUAAAUUUUAAAGCUACUGAUUUAGGCCGAGUAAGCAAAACAUAUAAACAGGAAUAAAGUAAAUUAUUCUUUUAGCAAAUCAGAGUGAGCUUUAUUGAUCCAGGGAUUGUCUAUAGGAAUUGCAAGAAAAUCAUGAGGAAUUUCUUUCAGGUCGCAAUGGCUGACAAAGAGCUUCAGGUUCAUGGUUCACCAGGUUCUGCUGGCUCCACUAACAGUUGCCUGCAAGCACUUGCAUAGUUAUUCCCCCUCUCCUACAAAUGUGAUCAAUUUGGCAUGGGUAUGCGUACAGUUGGAAUGAGGCGCCAUGGGAAGGAUUCAAAUAUCUGAGAAGUGUGCUAAAUCAAUAGUGCCAAUCGGUUCAGUUUCAGCUUCAAAAACAUUGGGUGAUUGAAAAUGGCAUGCUAUAUUUCUGCAACAAGGCUCCCUAAAUAUUCCCUAUGUUCUAAACUGGAUUCUGACAAGGGUGUACACCCUGCUAUUUGGUCAGAAGUCUGGGAGUUCAUACUUGGUUGUUUGAUCUCGAGAACACCUUUGAUGACCACGGGCAAAUUGGGCGAACCAGAAGGUACUCGACUCAUUCUAUGCUUUUCAUGACUGCAAUUUCCAUCAAGUACAUAUAUGAUGUCUUCACACUCCAUUAUAAUCAAUAAUUGCCUUACUGUAAAGGACUCAUUCAUUUUGCGUUCAUUAAUCUUGAACUAUAGAUUAAAUCUUUUUGCUGCAUGUUAAGUUAUGUGUGAAAGGAUGAUUAAUAUGAGGCAUACAUUCU